rnacentral:rRNA from 1 species
UACGUAGGCAGCAAGCGUUGUCCGGAUUUAUUGGGCGUAAAGAGCGUGUAGGCGGCCAGACAGGUCCGUUGUGAAAACUCGAGGCUCAACCUCGAGACGCCGAUGGAAACCGUCUGGCUAGAGUCCGGAAGAGGAGAGUGGAAUUCCUGGUGUAGCGGUGAAAUGCGCAGAUAUCAGGAAGAACACCCGUGGCUAAGGCGGCUCUCUAGUACGGUACUGACGCUGAGACGCGAAAGCGUGGGGAGCGAACAGG